rnacentral:rRNA from 1 species
ACUCCUACGGGAGGCAGCAGUGGGGAAUAUUGCACAAUGGGGGAAACCCUGAUGCAGCCAUGCCGCGUGUGUGAAGAAGGCCUUCGGUUGUAAAGCACUUUCAGUAGGGAGGAAGGUAGUGUAGUUAACACCUGCCAUUAUUUGACGUUACCUACAGAAGAAGCACCGGACUAACUCCGUGCCAGCACGCCGCGGUAAUACGGAGGGUGCGAGCGUUAAUCGGAAUUACUGGGCGUAAAGCGUCACUGCAGGCGGCCUGUUAAGUCACGAUGUGAAAGGCCCGGGGCUUAACCUCGGAAUUGCAUUUGAAACUGGCAGGCUAGAGUCUUGUAGAGGGGGGUAGAAUUUCAGGUGUAGCGGUGAAAUGCGUAGAGAUCUGAAGGAAUACCAGUGGCGAAGG